GUUACCCAGGUCUGGGUUUUAUGAUCCUCCUCUCCUGCCUCUGAUUCUUAAAUAGCUGGGAUUAUAGGCUUGUGCCACCAAUCCCCACUAUCCCAUCUUUCUUCCAGUUACUUUUAAACUCUGGGAAACUGUCAGCAAUCAAUUAUGAGAUGACAUUUAUGGACCUUUACUCUUUCGUCUUAUAACCAUCUUUGGUGUCCUCAGCCAUAGCUAACAUUUAUCCAGUGACAGCCAAGAGUGCUUCUGCUAAGAAUUUCUCAGUCAUGCCUUGGUUGGCUGAAUCUUGUACUCUUAUAGAUUACUUCAAAAGAGCUAGCUCAAGGGUAUAAUAUUACUAAAUAUGUUUUAAGAACUUUCUCUAUAGCCUGAUACCUGAAAGACUCUACUAUUUUUACAGUCUUUGGUUUGCCCUGUAUACACUACCUACAUAGUGUCUUAGGGCUGUCGUAGGAAAUUACUACAAACGGGGUGGUCUGAAAUGACAGAAACUUAAUCUGUCCAAGUUCAGGAGGCCAGAAGUUUAAUAACAAGAAAUCAGCAGAAUCAUUCUCUUUUGGUAGAGUAGAGGGGAAAUUCCUUGCUUUCCUCGUCCACCUUCAAGUGACUCCAGACUUCCUUGGCAUGUCAUAUUAGAUGGUUGUAUAAUUUUCCUCUACUUCAUGGAAAUUUUCAAGCCAUCUGAAAUAUUUUAAUCUGCAUUUUCUAUAUUUUUCAGUGGACAUUGCAGUUUCUUUCUCAUUUAUAUUUGGGACAGGUACCUUGGUACUGAUGGAAGAAAGGUGACAGGACAGGAAUUUGGGU
rnacentral:lncRNA from 1 species